AUGGAGCCGGCCCGUCGGCGCCGGCGGAGGGCGCACACGGCGGACGAGGCGGCGGCGGUGCUGCGCAAGGCCUGGUGCCGGCUGCGGCUGUCGGCGCGCGACCCGGCGCGGGUGCCGCCGUGGGACGCCGUCGUGCUCACGGCCGCCAGCCCCGAGCAGGCCGCGCUCUACGGCCGCCAGCUCGCGCGCGCGCGCCGCCUCGGCCUCUUCCCGCCCUCCACCGCCGCCCUCGCCGUCCCGGACCCCGACGGCGCCCGCAUCGGCUCCGGCGCCGCCACGCUCCACGCCGUCGCCUCCCUCGCCCGCCACCUCCUCUCCCAGGCCACCAAGGAAGAGAUCGCCGAAUUCCGUCUCCUCCCCGAGGCGAACGGCUCCUCCAUGCCGCUGGCAUCCGUGGUGCGCUUCAUGGCCACCAAGCACGUGCUGCUGCUCCACGCCGGCGGCGACAGCAAGAGGGUUCCUUGGGCCAACCCCAUGGGGAAGGCCUUCCUGCCGGUGCCUUACCUGGCCGGGGACAACCCCGACGGGCCUGUCCCGCUGCUCUUCGACCACAUCCUCGCCGUCUCAGCCAGCGCAAGGCAAGCAUUCAAGAACCAAGGUGGGAUCUUCAUAAUGACCGGGGAUGUUCUCCCCUGCUUCGAUGCCGCGAACCUACUGCUCCCCGAUGACGCUGCGUGCAUCGUCACCGCGCCGACCACGCUCGAUGUGGCCUCUAAUCAUGGAGUGGUGGUGGCGUCCAAGGAUGGAACCGAGGGGCAGAAUUACUCUCUCUGUUUGGUUGAUAAUCUCCUGCAGAAGCCGACAGUGAGGGAGCUUGUGGAGGGCCAGGCCAUUCUAGAUGAUGGUAGAGCACUACUUGACACGGGGAUAAUAGCUGUGAGGGGUCAAGCAUGGCAGGAGCUUGUUGCCCUUGCAUACUCAUCUAGCCAGACCAUGAUUGAGGAGAUCAUCACUAGCAGAAAAGAGUUGAGUUUAUAUGAAGAUCUUGUGGCUGCAUGGGUACCAACCAAACAUGAAUGGUUGAGGAACCGUCCAUUUGGCAAGGAACUAAUUGCUGCUUUAGGAAGACAUAAGAUGUUCAGCUUUUGUUCAUAUGACUUCUCAUUUUUGCAUUUUGGUACAUCUGCUGAGGUUCUUGAUCAUUUGGCGGGUUCAUAUUCAGGACUUGUAGGUCGAAGGCACAUGUGUUCGGUACCAGAGACCACUGCUUGUGAUAUUGCUGCGACAACAGUCAUUUUGUGUAGCAAAAUUUCUGCCGGGGUAUCAAUUGGAGAGGAUUCAUUGGUUUAUGAUUCAUCACUUUCAGGCAGAGUAAGGAUUGGGUCACAGUCCAUUGUUGUUGGGGUGAAUAUACAUGAGUUACAUGGGGAUAGUCCUCAAAUUAUCAGGAGUAGCACCUGUUUCACGCUACCUGAUCGGCAUUGCCUGUGGGAAGUGCCACUGGUAAACUCCAUGGGAAGAGUCAUGGUCUACUGCGGUCUUCAUGACAAUCCAAAAGUUGCUAUGAAUAGGGACGGGACUUUCUGUGGAAAGCCAUGGAAAAAUGUUUUGGAAGAUCUUAAAAUCCAGGAUACGGAUAUUUGGGACACAUCCAACCUUGACAAGUGCUUAUGGAAUGCUAGGCUUUUUCCCAUCGUGUCUCCCCCUGAAAUGCUGAAUGUAGGCAUGUGGCUCAUGGGAUCAGGACAUGACCCAGAUGGAAAAGUUAGUUGCAUUUGGAGAAAUUCACGCAGAGUCAGCCUGGAAGAGCUGCAUCGCUCAAUCGACUACCAUCAGCUUUGCAUGGAUUCAGCCAAGCAUCAAGCAGAUCUUGCAGCUGCCGUAGCCAAAAGUUGCAUGACAUAUGGCUUACUCGGGCGUAACCUGUUUCAGCUGUGUGAGGACAUGUUAGGAAAUGAUAGUUCCAGUGUAGAAGUCUGCAAAGAAUUACUUACAUUUUUUCCAAGUCACGGGGAUCAGUACUCUGGUGUUCUUCCUCAGAGCAGAGGAUAUCAGGUCAAAAUGGAUCUACUUAGAGCUUCUGGAGAUCUUUCUACUGCUUCUUUGGUUGAAGAGAAAGUAUGGGCUUCUGUUGCAAGUGAAACUGCAUCAGCUAUAAAAUAUGGGUCUAAAGAACCAUCAAGCAGUGCAAUGACGUCAAGCAAUGGAAACCUGCGUCCUAAGAAGGUUGUAGUAGAAUUACCGGUCCGUGUGGACUUUGUUGGGGGUUGGAGUGAUACACCUCCAUGGAGCUUGGAGCGUCCAGGUUGUGUUCUGAACAUGGCAAUAAGCCUGGAAGGACGCCUUCCAGUCGGGGCUACAACAGAGGCAACAGAAGACCACCAUGGAGUUCUAAUCGAAGAUGACACCGACAGAAAGGUCUACAUUGAUGAUCUGUCAUCCAUCUCUUGUCCAUUCAAAGAAGACGACCCAUUCCGUCUAGUGAAGUCUGCUCUCAUCGUCACUGGCAUCCUUGGCCAUGAAAUGCUGUUGACGUCAGGCCUGAAGAUCAGGACCUGGGCAAAUGUUCCUCGGGGAAGCGGACUCGGAACUUCGAGCAUAUUAGCGGCUGCUGUAGUCAAGUGUCUGUUCCAACUCAUGGAAGACGAUGGAGGCGAUGAUAAUGUCGCCAGGGCUGUGCUGGUAGUAGAGCAGAUAAUGGGCACCGGUGGAGGGUGGCAGGACCAAAUUGGUGGCCUGUAUCCUGGGAUCAAGUGCACCCAGAGCUUCCCAGGACAGCCGUUGCGCUUGCAGGUUGUUCCAUUGUUGGCAUCUCCCCAGUUGAUCCAGGAACUGGAGCAACGUCUCCUCGUCGUGUUCACCGGCCAAGUGAGGCUGGCGCACCGGGUGCUGGAGAAGGUGGUGACGCGGUACCUGCGGCGCGACAGCCUGCUGAUCUCCAGCAUCAAGCGGCUGGCGGAGCUGGCCAGGGCCGGGAGGGAGGCCCUGAUGAACGGCGAGGUGGACGAGCUGGGCGGCAUCAUGCUGGAGGCCUGGGGGCUGCACCAGGAGCUGGACCCCUUCUGCAGCAACAGGCUGGUGGACGAGCUGUUCGCGCUCGCCGACCCCUACUGCUGCGGCUACAAGCUCGUCGGUGCCGGCGGUGGCGGCUUCGCCCUCCUGCUCGCCAGGAGCCCAGGCCACGCCGUCGACCUCCGGCGCGUGCUUCAGGACUCCGCGGCCGGCCUCGACGUCACGGUGUACGACUGGAAGGUCGCCGUGCCACUGCCAAGAUGA
rnacentral:rRNA from 1 species